CGUGAUGGUAUUUGGAGGUGGGCCUGUGGGAGGUCGUUAGGGUAAGAUGAGGUCAUAAGAAUGGAGCCUUCACAAUGGGAUUAGUGCCCUUGUAAGAAGAGACAGAGACCUUGCUUCCUCUCUCUCCACCAUAGCAGGACGCAGCAAGAAGAUGAGGGGUCCUCUCCAGGAACUGAAUCAUCCAGCACCUUGGUCUUUGGCUUCCCAGACUCCAGAACUGUGUGUGCUAUAAGCACGGGAACACUUAGCAGGUUGGCUGGAUUACCCACUCUGGUGAUGGCAAUAAGCCUCCUAAGGGACACCAUCCUUCAAAGCAACCGUCGUGGGUACCAUCAUGGCACAAGGCUGCCUAGGCGGUGAGACCCUCCUGAAACCCCUUAAAACUUCGGGCACCAGCCUAUGUAAAGCAGUAAUAUUGAAUCAAGUUGGAACCCAGUGAGGACUCACAGUGUAUGUCAUCACAAAGGCUCUGGCGUCAACCCCAAACACCUCAGUGGAAAUUUGGGACCAGACUCUGAGUCACUUCUGCCUCUCAAGACUUCUCUCUAAUUGUGAGCUCAAAGGUACUGUCACCUGGGAAGCAACUUGGGAAAAUACCUUGGAAAACUGGCAUUUGCACAUCUUGUGGCGUCCUGGUAACGGCAACUGGUUUCCUGCUGGGAAAAUGGAUGUGUAUAUUUACACAUAUAAACGUGUCUAGACAUAUGUGCAUGAUGUAUGUGCAUCUAUACAGACACACACAUAGAAGUUUAUCUAAACCUGAUUAAUAUAAACGGCAUGGAGUACGCUAUUUACAAAUCAUAAAAAAACAUAAUAUUUUGGUUUUCAUAGAACAGUUUCAUUGAUUUUUUAAAACAAACUCUUACAUCACCAGUCUAUGAAUGCAAGUCAACCACGACUUCACAAAUGGGACUGCGUCCCAGUCCACC